rnacentral:rRNA from 1 species
UACGUAGGGUGCAAGCGUUAAUCGGAAUUACUGGGCGUAAAGCGUGCGCAGGCGGUUGUGUAAGACAGAUGUGAAAUCCCCGGGCUUAACCUGGGAACUGCGCUUGUUACUGGCAGGCUUGAGUGUGGCAGAGGGGGGUGGAAUUCCACGUGUAGCAGUGAAAUGCGUAGAGAUGUGGAGGAACACCGAUGGCGAAGGCAGCCCCCUGGGCUAACACUGACGCUCAUGCACGAAAGCGUGGGGAGCAAACAGG